rnacentral:rRNA from 1 species
GUCGAGAAUCUUUCGCAAUGGGCGCAAGCCUGACGAAGCGACGCCGCGUGGGUGAUGAAGGUCUUCGGAUCGUAAAACCCUGUCGCGAGGGAAGAAAUGCCCAGGCGUUAACAGCGCCUGGGUUUGACGGUACCUCGAGAGGAAGCUCCGGCUAACUCUGUGCCAGCAGCCGCGGUAAUACAGAGGGAGCAAGCGUUGUUCGGAUUUAUUGGGCGUAAAGGGUGUCUAGGCGGCAAGGCCAGUCGAAUGUGAAAUCCCCCGGCUUAACCGAGGAAUUGCAUUCGAAACUACCUUGCUUGAGUAUGGCAGACGUGAGCGGAAUUCUCAGUGUAGCGGUGGAAUGCGUAGAUAUUGAGAAGAACACCAGUGGCAUAGGCGGCUCACGAGGCUAAUACUGACGCUGAAGCACGAAAGCCAGGGGAGCGAACGGGAUUAGAAACCCCAGUAGUCC